GGUUAUCUGAGUGGACCCCCCUCCCAAAUCCAGCAUCCCCACUGUGGACGCGUCUGGACUGUGGAGAUCACCUGGAGACAGAGAACUGCAGAACAAAAGCGGUGAAGUGGGACCAGCAGAGUCCGAGGAACCAAGCACCGACUGUCGGUCCAGGCUCCACGGAGGCCCACUCUGAGCUGAGACCGGUGCAGGGAGGUCUGAUAAUGUGGAGAAGGACAGUCUUCACUAGUGGAACACCUCCUGCUGGACAGAGUCGCUAUCUGAGCUCCGGCCUAUUCAGGUCAGCUCAAAGACAUUAGCGUGUGCCACUCAACCGCGGGCAUUAGAGCCUUUUACCACCGACCUUUGACCCCCGGACACACGCAGCCGCGCUUCAUUAGAGGCCUUGAGGGGGAACUGUAUCAUGGGAGCUUUAACAGAAAAUUCCAAGAAGCUAUUUGCAAAACAAACCAGGCUUUAGCACACCGAGGGGGGGGGGGGGGGGGCUCCUGAGGGGCAGCAGCCAUCGGUCCAUUAGAGGACAAGUUAAUUCAGUCAUCAUGAAAAGACACUUAUGGACGUAACGAGCUGAUCCCACUCAGAGGGAAGGAGAAAACAUUUCAGGGGGAGAUAAUCGCCCCCCUCAAGAUUAAGUGGGACAUUAUCCCACGAGGCCAUAAUUGCUUGUAUGAACUACUUUAAAAGGGAUUGGAUUAGAAGAGGAGGAGUUCAAAACACAGGACCUACAUACAUGUAUAGAAAUACACACACACGUGGGAUUAGAGCAAGACCACAUCGAGCUGAGUGCUUCACAUCUGGAUCCAUAUCACAAUAUCCAGUCACAUGGUGUUGAUUUUAUACCAUCUAUAAAACAAUGGAUUCUAAAUAUCAAACGUGUUUUGGGUCCAUGUGGAGUCUCUACGUGUAAUAGAUAUGAACCUCAUCCAUCCGCAGUGCGCGGAGGCUGUUUCAUGGCACGUCGAUGAUCGUGUAAUCACGACUUUGUCUAGUUGGACUGGGAGUUGUGUGUAAAAUCAGUGUGUGUGUUUCUGUUGAAGCGAUAGAUCAAUAUUACACGCAGAAAAUGAUGGAAUUUUGCGAUUUCCCCCAAAUAAUUCCAUAAAUCUAGACCAAAUCCACAUUGUGUGUAGACAGUACACAGUUUACUGCUACUCUACAGAGGGCUUUGAGAAGGCCGCAUGGCAGACGAACGUCUGAGCCCAAACGCUUCCACGCCCUCAUCUCCACGUCCGAUCUCACUGAAUACAUCGGAUGUGCACAAACGAUCGACCGCUUCCCCAGAACAACGGCAGAGCGUCAAUUGAAGUCGAGAUCUUUCAUUGGCUCUGAAAGAUCCUACCAGUUGUCGUCAUUUCACCGCGACACAGCAGGAAGUAACACGGCGCGCGCCGUAGCUCAUUGCAUCGAAGUUAAGACACAUUCAGGAUUAUUGCCCAGCACUAAUAAUUCACAACGGAUACUUAGUUUAUAGGAGCAAAAAGAAUACCUGGUCUUACCUUCGUCGGUGCCGUCCAUGACGGACACGCUGUCGUCUCUGGACAGAAAGGGGGAGUCGGUAAACAGCGCCCUCACCUGGACACAGAGGGAGGCACAGCCAGCUCAGCACCACUUCUUUACUGCAUAUAUACCGUGUGUGUAUAUAUAUACACAUACUGCAUAUAUACCGUGUGUGUAUAUAUAUACAUACUGCAUAUAUACCGUAUACACCGACUACGGCAUGCAUUUGCUGUGGCAUUGUUUCGAUAAGCUUCUGCAAUGUCACAAGGUUUAUUUCCAUCCAGUGUUGCAUUGACUCUCUUGUAUUGAUGGUGGUAGUUUAUUCUCCUCCAGCACAUCCCAAAGAUUCUCCAUGGGGUUGAGGUCUGGACUCAUGCUCGUGCUCCCUGAACCAGUCUUUCACCAUUUGAGCCCGAUGAGUCCUGGGAUUGUCAUCUUGGAAUACGCCCGUGCCAUCAGGGAAGAAGAAAUCCAUUGAUGGAAUAACCUGGUCACUGAGUAUGUUCAGGUAGUCAGCUGACCUCUUUGAGCACAAACUGUUGCUGCCCACGCAGUAAGUAUCCAAUAGGAGGCUCGUACCUAUUUGCUUAGUAAAAUCCAGGUGGUGACUUUUUUUAUAUAUAUAUAUAUAUAUAUAUAUAUAUAUAUAAAGUAAAACCCAGAAAGAAGAAGUGGUGUCAUUUUUAACGACACUCGAUCUGGCAUAGUUUUUGUUUGAUUUUUCUACUGUAUUCACAAUUUAACAUACAUUUUAGUUCAUUUUAGUCAUUUAACAGUGUUGUUCAAUUUAACCACCAACCAUUCUUCUGUUUUAAUUCUACUGCAACGCUUCGUCCCGGAUUUCAACUGCUACCGUGUACUCCCUGCACAACUAGCUGGCUGUCGCUCGCUAUCUGCCGCUGACGUGCCCGUCACUUCUCCGGUCAAAGAGUCCCUGGCUACCGCCAAAGCCCUUCAGGCUUAUCAUUACAUCCUCCCCGGCUGGCAUGGUUCUGCAAUACUCCACUUCUCUGCUCCUUACUUCAUCUCAGCCAUCAAAACACCCCUCGGCCGUCAAUUUACCACCCCCCGAAACCAAACCCUGCUUUCCCCUGAUCUGUCUGAAUUUCUUACACAAACUAUGCGCCAUCUCUCCAUCCAUUCAGCUACUCUGUGACUUUAACAUACAUGUUGACUCAUCCGAUUCCACAACUUCUACAGAACUCUUGGACACCUUUAACUACUUCAGCACAACAUUCCACUCAUAAAAAAGGACACACACUUGACCUGGUCGGCACCUCCGGCAUUACCAUCAGCAAUCUAACCAGCAUCGACCUCAGCAUCUCUGACCACCCGGCUACCACCUCGGACUCCCCACCCCAUGUCAACAGUCCAUCAACCCAUCGCUCUCCUCCACCAUGGCUGCCUACGCCCCUAUUCCAACCGCCUCCCCCACUAUCCUGGUUAAUUACUUAAUCCAAACUCGCCUCCUUCACCCACUCCGCCCCCUGGUAUGCUGACCAACUUUGCCACCUCAAAGUGCAGGUCCGGAACAUCAUACCAACUCCACCAACAACGGUACAAAGAUGCCCUCAACACCACUCGUUCCUUGCUCCAUCUGCCAAUCUGGCUUAAACUACCCCAAAAUGCUUUUCUCCACCAUCAACAAACUCCUGUAGCCCAUGGAGCACCUCCUUCAUCAGCAAAUGCUCAUUUCUUCAAUUAUAAAACAGCACAGAAACCCCUCCACUGAAAACCACAAAUGACAUACUGCUGACUCUGACUUCCUCACCAUCCUCAUCCCCUUUGGCCUUCGACACGAUCAACCACUACAUCCUCCUCUCACGUCUGCUGUACUCCCUUGGCAUAACUGGCACUGCCCUCUCCUGGUUCACCUCAUGUCACUCAGACCAACAUCAAUUCAUUGCCAUGAACAACUGUAAAUCCUCCACCUCCUCAGUCACCCACGGUGUCCCCCAAGGUUCUGUGCUUGGUCCCCUCCUCUUCAUCAUUUACAUCGUUUCCUUGGACAAAUCACCUGUUGUCAUGGUCUUGAUUUCCACUGCUACGCUGAUGUGACCCAACUCUCCUCCAAGACCCUCACCGCAAGUCACCCACUCCACUCUCACUGCCGGUCUCACAGACAUAAAAUCAGCUCAUGGAUAUAACAGAACUUUCUCAAAAUCAACUGCAAUAAAUCUGAAAUGAAAUCUUUUGUCAUCACCAAAAUACUCAUCCAUGCCCUCUUGACCUCCAGACUCGACUGCUGCACCAGCAUCUCUACGGCCCCCCAACAAAAUCCUCAACCAACUGCAAUAUGUUCAGAACUCUGCCGCUGGACUGCUCACAUCCACCGCCGCUAUGAACACAUCACCCGGUCCUACGCAACCUCCACUGGCUCCUGGUCAAUUACUGGAUAGACUUCAAAAUAUUACUCAACAUCUACAAAACCUCUCAGACCUCCUCCCCCUCCACGCCCCAACCGUUCAGGAUCGCCGAUGCAAACACCAUGAAGACCAUCAGGACCAAGCGCCGGACCUUGGCAGAUGCUUGGCCUUCGCUCCAUCCAGCAGUCGGAGGCCGGCGGUGGCUUUCAGGACUACAGGGGUGAGGGUCCAGCUGGAGGGGGGGAUGCUGGAUUCGGCCACCUUCAGGAGCUCCGUGAGUCCUGCUGCACACUGGAGGGGACGAACUGUUAGUGAUAAACAGAUGAUGACAGCCUUAAAGAAUAUCAGGUUUUAUUAGUGGUGAAAUAAGGCAUCGUUAUUCUGUACCCCCCUAAACUAAAUACACAUUUAGUGUGAUUAUUAACAAACUAUGCAUUUAGCUACAUAUACAUUAGUCUGAUUAGAAACAUAAACAAAUGUGUAAUAUGCCGCUACA